AACGAACGCUGGCGGCAGGCUUAACACAUGCAAGUCGAACGCCCCGCAAGGGGAGUGGCAGACGGGUGAGUAACGCGUGGGAACAUACCCUUUUCUACGGAAUAGCUCUGGGAAACUGGAAUUAAUACCGUAUACGCCCUACGGGGGAAAGAUUUAUCGGGGAAGGAUUGGCCCGCGUUGGAUUAGCUAGUUGGUGGGGUAAAGGUCUACCAAGGCGACGAUCCAUAGCUGGUCUGAGAGGAUGAUCAGCCACAUUGGGACUGAGACACGGCCCAAACUCCUACGGGAGGCAGCAGUGGGGAAUAUUGGACAAUGGGCGCAAGCCUGAUCCAGCCAUGCCGCGUGAGUGAUGAAGGCCUUAGGGUUGUAAAGCUCUUUCACCGAUGAAGAUAAUGACGGUAGUCGGAGAAGAAGCCCCGGCUAACUUCGUG
rnacentral:rRNA from 1 species